AUUGAACGCUGGCGGCAGGCCUAACACAUGCAAGUCGAACGGUAACAGGGAUCAGCUUGCUGAUUCGCUGACGAGUGGCGGACGGGUGAGUAAUGUCUGGGAAACUGCCUGAUGGAGGGGGAUAACUACUGGAAACGGUAGCUAAUACCGCAUAACGUCGCAAGACCAAAGAGGGGGACCUUCGGGCCUCUUGCCAUCGGAUGUGCCCAGAUGGGAUUAGCUAGUAGGUGGGGUAACGGCUCACCUAGGCGACGAUCCCUAGCUGGUCUGAGAGGAUGACCAGCCACACUGGAACUGAGACACGGUCCAGACUCCUACGGGAGGCAGCAGUGGGGAAUAUUGCACAAUGGGCGCAAGCCUGAUGCAGCCAUGCCGCGUGUAUGAAGAAGGCCUUCGGGUUGUAAAGUACUUUCAGCGGGGAGGAAGGGAGUAAAGUUAAUACCUGUGCUCAUUGACGUUACCCGAAGAAGAAGCACCGGCUAACUCCGUG
rnacentral:rRNA from 1 species